UGCCAGACUCCUACGGGAGGCAGCAGUGAGGAAUAUUGGUCAAUGGGCGGGAGCCUGAACCAGCCAAGCCGCGUGAAGGAAGAAGGCGCCAGGCGUCGUAAACUUCUUUUGUCGGGGAACAAAGGGCGCCACGCGUGGCGUUGUGAGUGUACCCGAAGAAAAAGCAUCGGCUAACUCCGUGCCAGCAGCCGCGGUAAUACGGAGGAUGCGAGCGUUAUCCGGAUUUAUUGGGUUUAAAGGGUGCGUAGGCGGGCUGUUAAGUCAGCGGUCAAAUGUCGGGGCUCAACCCCGUACUGCCGUUGAAACUGCAUCCCUUGAGUGCGCGAGAAGUAUGCGGAAUGCGUGGUGUAGCGGUGAAAUGCAUAGAUAUCACGCAGAACUCCGAUUGCGAAGGCAGCAUACCGGCGCGCAACUGACGCUCAUGCACGAAAGCGUGGGUAUCGAACAGGAUUAGAUACCCUGGUAU
rnacentral:rRNA from 1 species